UGGACGACGCUCAGUGUUCACCGAACACCUUAGUCCUACUACAUCCACCUUCUAGCAUUGUUUUUUCCCCUGGUCGGUCGUGCGAAGAGAUUCAUCUCACUUGCUUGGAAUUGGACAGACACAGAGUCUGGGAUGAAUACUUGAGGACAAUGCCAUGCUCCACCUCACAGAACAGAGGUCCUCCACAUCAGUUAAGGACUAACGCAAAAGUGCGAAAAGGAGCCCUGCUCCUCCUCCAGCACCAGAAAAGCGGGUCAAUAGAGAAAGGUGUAAACCAGGUCCAAAUGGGGACCCUUGGAUUCUGUGUAUGAAGGGUAGCACCACUGACAUACGUCAAAGUUGGGGGAGUUAAAAAAAAAAGUGGUGUGUACGUAUGGGUUACUUUCAUUCUUUCAGUCUCUAUUAUUUCUGUUAUUAACUUUCAUGAAAUUUUACCAUUAAUAAUCCUAUAUGUGUUACUUUCCUCCUAGUUAUCACUGCAGUCAAUUGCAAAUAUUAUUUUACUCUUUUAAUGUUAUUUUAUUAUUUUAACUGGAAUACAGCCUUGAAAGUGCAAGCACUAUUCAUAAAUGCAAUGUUGAGAUUAUUAAAGCUAGAGAUACGUGAGCAUAGUAAAAGAUGAGAAAAAUGUAUUUGGGUUAAUUUGUGGGCUUCUGUUCUGCAAGCAUAAACUUUGGAAGUCUCUUAAAAACCUCUUGUGUAUUCUCAGAAACAUCCUUAACUCAUUAUAAGCUGAACUGUCACUUUUAUUAUUGUAUGUAUUAAACAUUGCUUAAAAUUAAAAACAUUAAUCAGAAAACUGCUGUCCUAACCAAAGAAAAUAUUGCCCAGUCUAAAAUUCAAAUAUUAAAUUAUUUAAUUUACAAUCUGUGGGGUUCACAAGAUCUGGAUACAGUGUGCAGUGCCUUUAUGUCACUGUAUGCAUGUGUGUAUCACAAGCUUUAUACUGGAAAUUGCAGAAUACUAAAAUAGAAAUGAUGCCAAAUCUAUGAUGUGUACUAGUAAAAAGUAUCUUCAGCACCUU